CUAGUGAGUGCGCCACACCAAAACGAUAAAAACACCGAAACGAUAAAAAUCUUGAAUCACAUCCUCAUUAUAACUCUCUAUAUCAACAACCAGUAGCUAAUCUAUAAUAAAAAGAUUAUCUACAUCAUUCUCAGUAUGUGUGCCAUCUCUAAAUCGAUUCAUCUCAUCUUCAGUCAGUGAUGGGAGUGGAUUGUUGCCAAUUUUAAUGGGACCAAUCCCCAAUCUUCACUGCAUCUUAUUCUGCUCUUUUUCAGCUUCAUUCUCCUUACACCGCGCGAUUUUUCUAUUUGCAUCUUUGACAGUGAGGACACCCUCUACUUGAACCUGGCGAUGAGUUGUUUUGGCUCUGCGGUGUCUAUUUGCAAUGAGAUAGUUCUCCAAUUCAGUAGUCUGUUGUGCAUUAAGUUCUGCAUGAGAUAGACUAGCUUUGAAUAUCUUGUUCAAAUGAUGUGUCAGGGUGGGUGAUUCUGAAUUCAGAGUAUUCUUAAUACUUUGUAUGGCGUUUUCUGCAAUAUUAAUAUGGUGUUUCAGUCUUUGAAUUGUCUUUGGUGAGGAUAGCUGAGAAGAUGAGGUAGGUAUAUGAUCUGAACCAUCCUCAUCUUCACUGUAAAUCUGAAGUGGAGGAGGUGAUGAAAUCCGCUGCUUAAUAGCAUCAAGAACUUGGUCAGAAUUCCAUGGAUAUAUGCCACAUUCUGCCCAACCUGCAGCUAUUGUAUCAGGUUUAAAGAUCUGUUUUCGGGUGGUGGGUAGAUCUUGUAGAAACUGCCAUUUUUCAUACUUAUCAAGACCGUGGCGCGCGGUGUAGUUGACUGCUUUCAAAUGAUAAUGCUUGUACUGUUGAAAUGGUAGACUGUCCAGAGGUUGUAGUAAAUGUGUGGCAUGUGAAGGAAAUCCAUAUAGAAUUAUCUUAUGA
rnacentral:sRNA from 1 species